rnacentral:rRNA from 1 species
UACGUAGGGGGCAAGCGUUGUCCGGAUUUAUUGGGCGUAAAGAGCGUGUAGGCGGCCUGGUAGGUCAGCUGUGAAAACUCGAGGCUCAACCUCGAGACGCCGGUUGAAACCAUCAGGCUAGAGUCCGGAAGAGGAGAGUGGAAUUCCCGGUGUAGCGGUGAAAUGCGCAGAUAUCGGGAAGAACACCCGUGGCUAAGGCGGCUCUCUAGUACGGUACUGACGCUGAGGUGCGAAAGCGUGGGGAGCAAACAGG